ACCUUUAUUGUGCCACACCUGCUGUGACACGGGGCCUCGGUUUAUACGGUCUCAUCCGAAGGACUGCCCCAUUUAGUCGCCUUUUACGACAAGCAAGGGGGUACUGAGGACCUAUUCAAAAACCGGAUCCCCACGGGGCUCGGAACCUUUGAAAUGUUUGAAAUGUUCCCCUGGGAUUUCCGGAUCAGGGGUUUUGAAAUGCUCCCCGGGAUUUGUCAAUGUGAGUGGCUGGUGUUUCUCUUUCCACAAAGAACCGACGUCCGGAACCAAUCCUCGGAACUCCAUAAGAUUGCUCAGAGGGAAUGGGAUAUUGAGGCUAAGAAGAAAAAGUAAGUUGAUCUCAAUGGUUCAUUUGCAUUUCGUGCCAAUGUUUUGACAUUUGACGACAAUGAAAGACUCCUUUUUGAUGAUUGGACACCAGUGACGUAUCAGAACUGGAAUUUUAACGAUGAGGGUGAGACAGCAGUUGACCUCCUUUUGACUUUUCAUAACGACGGCAGGUGGCGCUGGGUGACUGAGAGGAACUACACGUACUAUACCGGAGAAGACGGACCAAAACUCCCCUUUAUUUUUGAGGAUUCUCCGUUUUAUUUGGAGCCAGAAGAGUGUUCUGUAACAUAAUGUUUCAUUCUCUUUAAAUUCAAAUAAACAUUUGCAAUAUAUAUAUAUAUAUAUAUA